UGCCAGCAGCCGCGGUAAUACGUAGGUGGCAAGCGUUGUCCGGAUUUACUGGGCGUAAAGGGCGUGCAGGCGGUCGGAUAAAUCGAAUGUGAAGUCUCCCGGCUCAACUGGGAAGGGUCAUUCGAUACUGUUCGACUUGAAGAUAGGAGAGGGAAGCGGAAUUCCCGGUGUAGUGGUGAAAUGCGUAGAUAUCGGGAGGAACACCAGUGGCGAAGGCGGCUUUCUGGCCUAUUCUUGACGCUGAGACGCGAAAGCUAGGGGAGCGAACGGGAUUAGAUA
rnacentral:rRNA from 1 species